CUAGAGUUUGAUCAUGGCUCAGAUUGAACGCUGGCGGCAGUCCUAACACAUGCAAGUCGAGCGGAUGAGGGGAGCUUGCUCCCGGAUUCAGCGGCGGACGGGUGAGUAAUGCCUAGGAAUCUGCCUGGUAGUGGGGGACAACGUUUCGAAAGGAACGCUAAUACCGCAUACGUCUACGGGAGAAAGCAGGGGGGUCUUCGGCCUUGCGCUAUCAGAUGAGCCUAGGUCGGAUUAGCUAGUUGGUGGGGUAAAGGCCUACCAAGGCGACGAUCCGUAGCUGGUCUGAGAGGAUGAUCAGUCACACUGGAACUGAGACACGGUCCAGCCUCUACGGGAGGCAGCAGUGGGGAAUAUUGGACAAUGGCGAAAGCCUGAUCCAGCCAUCCCGCGUGUGUGAAGAAGGUCUUCGGAUUGUAAAGCACUUUAAGUUGGGAGGAAGGGCAGUAAGUUAAUCCCUGCUGUUUUCCGUUCCACAGAAUAACCCGCCGGCCCCUUA
rnacentral:rRNA from 1 species